rnacentral:rRNA from 1 species
UACGAAGGGGGCUAGCGUUGCUCGGAAUUACUGGGCGUAAAGCGCACGUAGGCGGGUCCGUAAGUAGGGGGUGAAAUCCCAAGGCUCAACCUUGGAACUGCCUUCUAGACUGCGGGCCUUGAGGUCAGGAGAGGCGAGUGGAAUACCGAGUGUAGAGGUGAAAUUCGUAGAUAUUCGGUGGAACACCAGUGGCGAAGGCGACUCGCUGGACUGAUACUGACGCUGAGGUGCGAAAGCGUGGGGAGCAAACAGG